UGCAGUCGAGCGCCUGCACAAAGUACUCGUCGAUGUAUUUACGCGAGNCNNNUNNUUGAAAUGUACGCAUUUCAACAUCUUUCAUUAGAGAUGAAAGGCUGUGUCUCGAGAAUAAUACAUAAGACGAGGAGUAUUUUGUGCAGGAGCGGCGGACGGGUGAGUAACGCGUGGGAAUCAACCCCAGACUGAGGGAUAAGCACCAGAAAUGGUGUCUAAUACCGCAUACGGUCUACGGAUUAAAGCUUCGGCGGUCUGGGAUGAGCCUGCGUAUGAUUAGCUAGUUGGUAAGGUAAAGGCUUACCAAGGCGACGAUCAUUAGCUGGUCUGAGAGGAUGAUCAGCCACACUGGAACUGAGACACGGUCCAGACUUCUACGGAAGGCAGCAGUAGGGAAUCUUCCACAAUGGGCGAAAGCCUGAUGGAGCAACGCCGCGUGCAGGAUGAAUGCCUUAGGGUUGUAAACUGCUUUUAUUUGUGAUGAUUAUGACAGUAACAAAUGAAUAAGGAUCGGCUAACUCCGUGCCAGCAGCCGCGGUCACACGGAGGAUCCAAGCGNUAUCCGGAAUGACUGGGCGUAAAGAGAUGCGUAGGUGGNUUUUAUAAGCGAAUAGUGAAAUCGUUCGGCUCAACCGAGCGGCUGNUAUUCNAACUGNAUNACUNGAGUACGAGAGAG
rnacentral:rRNA from 1 species